rnacentral:lncRNA from 10 species
CUGGGAUGAGAACUUUCACAUAGCUGCUGUGUUCAUGUCCAUCACCACCCUGUGAGGUGGAUCCCAGCAAGAUGACUUCUACCCUACAAAGAGGUUGAGAAUCCUGUUUCAAAUGCUGGAUGGAUCCCUGUGAAUCUGUCACUUUAAGAAGGGAGACUGCCCAGUGAAAGCAGUGGAAAGAAAAAGAGCGUUAAAAGGUGAGGACACUGAAGCACCGAGAAGGAAACAGAAGAUUCAGGACAAAGCCAGCUCUGUCUCCUGUACCAACCUUGCAUGAAAAACAACCAAGGAAAUC